CGUACACUCCUGCGGGAGGCAGCAGUGGGGAAUUUUGGACAAUGGGCGAAAGCCUGAUCCAGCCAUGCCGCGUGCAGGAUGAAGGCCUUCGGGUUGUAAACUGCUUUUGUACGGAACGAAACGGCCUUUUCUAAUAAAGAGGGCUAAUGACGGUACCGUAAGAAUAAGCACCGGCUAACUACGUGCCAGCAGCCGCGGUAAUACGUAGGGUGCAAGCGUUAAUCGGAAUUACUGGGCGUAAAGCGUGCGCAGGCGGUUAUGUAAGACAGUUGUGAAAUCCCCGGGCUCAACCUGGGAACUGCAUCUGUGACUGCAUAGCUAGAGUACGGUAGAGGGGGAUGGAAUUCCGCGUGUAGCAGUGAAAUGCGUAGAUAUGCGGAGGAACACCGAUGGCGAAGGCAAUCCCCUGGACCUGUACUGACGCUCAUGCACGAAAGCGUGGGGAGCAAACAGGAUUAGAAACCCGGGUAGUCC
rnacentral:rRNA from 1 species